rnacentral:misc_RNA from 1 species
GAUGAAGAACGUAGCGAAAUGCGAUAAGUAAUGUGAAUUGCAGAAUUCAGUGAAUCAUCGAAUCUUUGAACUCACAUUGCGCCCCUUGGUAUUCCGAGGGGCAUGCCUGUUCGAGCGUCAUUACACCACUCAAGCUAUGCUUGGUAUUGGGCGUCGUCCUUAGUUGGGCGCGCCUUAAAGACCUCGGCGAGGCCACUCCGGCUUUAGGCGUAGUAGAAUUUAUUCGAACGUCUGUCAAAGGAGAGGAACUCUGCCGACUGAAACCUUUAUUUUUCUAGGUUGACCUCGGAUCAGGUAGGGAUACCCGCUGAACUUAAGCAUAUCAAUAAGCGGAGGA